rnacentral:lncRNA from 1 species
AUGAUUUGUUUAGUGGAAAUUUAUAUUUAUUAUACAAUUAUAGUAAUUAUAAUCAUAAUUUAAAAAAGAAUCAUAUCUAUGGAACAACUGUUGUUUUGACUUAAAUGCAUGAGGUGUGACUUAAACUAAUAAAGAGAAAAGCUUACUCUAGUCCUAAGUAACCGUGGGAGCCUUAAACUUUAUAUUUUCCAACUUAAAUAGUACUAGCAACAUAUUUAAGUGGCAGACUAGUUAGAAAAAUUCAUGUGCCUUGGCAGCAAUAUUUGUUAUUAGAUAAUAAAUCUUUUUUAUUUUUUGUUUUGGUAAAGAACUACAAACCUAUGCAUUUUCAUGUUCCACAGAGUUGUGUGUUGUUCUAACUAAACUCAUUUUGUUUGAUCAUAUAUAACAACUUUUAAAUUUUUUGAUGAGCCAUUUAGGAAUGUGAAAAUGAACAUUUUUUAGCCUAGAAUUUCCAGAUAUAUGUGGUUCUGUAGCAACCUGAUUAAAGGGUUCUUUUGUCUCCUAAUUAUGUUGUUUGAUUGUGAGAUGGUGGAUGCUUCAAAUUCAGAUUCAGGUUCUUCUCUGAACUUUCCCCUGCUUCUUAUAAAUAGAAACCAAAGACUACCACAUGUGCAUUUUCAUACAGGAAAAAUAAACUAUAUCUCAUUGUCAUGUGCAUUUAUAUAUCUUCAAUCAAAUAUUGAUAUACAAUUACGAAUUGUCUCCAUUCUCUUCAGAUCAUACGGUUUCGUUGAUAAUAAAAAAAUAACUUAGUAUGGUUCUUGAUAUCUUGGAGAUUAUGCAUAUAAUUUGAGCACAUGAUGGAGAAGUGAUACCAUGAAUUUGAUUGCAAAGAUGUCAUGUUUAUUCUUUUUAGCUUAUAUUUUUAUUUAAUUGAUAUAACAGUGAAACAACUUGUGUUUCCAGGUUUGUUUACAUUUUCAAUGAGGUGCAUGGUUUUCCUUUAGAAUUAAAAAAAAAAUUAUACUUUUAGUUUUUGGGACUUUCAGAAUAGUACGUAGAGUGGUGGUAGCAGUAAGUAGUAACCUUGAUGAUGGUAGGAAUGAUAAAGCGUGAAUGUUUAAUUUCCAAAGAAAGGAAAGUGGAUAGUUUUAAUAAUUAAAAUAAAAGAAGAAAAAUGUUUUCUUUUAGGUUUAAAAUUAUAAAGAAUGAACGUACUAUGUAAAAAUUUUCAAAUCUGAGUAAUAUUUAUGACAUUUUCAGAGAACUAAUUUAUGUUGAUUAAUGUUGCUUCCAAUUGAGUAACAGUGGAUUAGGUAAAUGGUUUCUACAUGUUCAGGGGUGUGGUUAGUUUACUUCUAUAAAAUAAAUUGUUUCCAAUUUUUUCAUGGCUCAUUUACAAGAUGUUGCAUAUGGAUGACAUUUUAGACUUAUCCACUUUCUAUUAUUAUUGAUAAAUUUCCUUUAUUUUCACUUUAACCCGAGACAUAAUUGUUCUACAACUUUUUUUUAUGAUAAGUAGGGGCACCAUAAUCCUUCCUUUCCCAGUAGUUGAAUAUUUUCUUUCCUUAAACUGAUUUUAGGCGCUUAUUUGACUUGAUUGUAUUUUUUGUACUUCCUGUAAAGCCUGUUGUAAACUCAACCAAGUCUUGCUUUUCAUAAUCAAAUUUUUAAUGGACUCUUGAAAUGCUAAUGUUAUAUAGAAAGGAUAAUUUUUAUAGAAAUGUAAAAGUGUGAAACGAUAAUAUAACUUUCCAAGCUUUUCAGAUGAAUUUCUUCGAAACUAUAGCUCUAACUCAAGACAUUACAUGAAGCUCAAUAUAUAUUGACAGGAACAAGUAGAACAGGUUCAAAUGGUUUAUGUUAAUAUUGUUCCCUGCUAACCAACCUCCUCCACUUGCAGUGAUAUUCUUGGUCGCACAGUUCACAAGUUUCACCAAUAUGGAACUUAGAAAAUAGCCAACGGCCAUAGAUCACCAAAGGAAGCAUGUUGAUGUUGAUGGUUUCUUGGUAAGAUAACUUGCCGUCAUACGGGCAGGACACAUUCCAUGAUAAGAUCUUUUAUUGCACAUGGUUCUAGAAUUGUUGUUUUAUGUUCAAAUCAUUUGGGAGGUAAGCCUGAACUUAUCCUUUUGUGUAAUUUGAUUCGUAUUAAACACUUUCUAAUCUAGGGGUUAUUGCCUGUUUUUGGAAUUUUAUUUUCUCUGGGAUAGUGUUAUCAAAAUAUGAAUUGUUUCAUUUUGCUAAAACCAAAAUAUUCAUGGAUGUUCUUCAGGUUGUCUAGAGAGAAAACAUGAAAUAAAUUUUUGUUGAACAUUUGCCUACUCGUAUUAUACACAAUGGUCUUCCUUGUAGUACGUCAAUGAUUGCUAGCUUUUUUCACAGUUUGGUUACCACAAUGGAGGAUUGUGCAGUUUGUACCAUAGUUGGAGGUGUUUAUGCUUUAUAGGGAAACAAUAUGUUAAUAUUGGUUGCACACAAGAUUUUUAGAAAAGCUUAUUUUGCUUUUGACAUGCUUAAAUCUAUCAUUUUAUUAAUUUUUGUUCCCUAUGCAAACUAAAUUCUAACCAUAUUUUGUUAUUGCCUACCUACAUCAGAUAAUGUGAGUCUAGAAUUCAAUUUGAGAUCAACCUGUGCUUAUUUCAUCGUUGAGGUAGCAAUGAGCAUCCGGAAGGUAUAUCAUUUAUGUUCCCCGGUAAAGUAGUUAUUAGUUUGCAUUAAAUGUCAUCAUUCCAUAUCAUAAUUCAAUUUCAAAGAAGCAGUUGUAGAAUGCAAAUGCAAUGUGCUAUAAUCAUUUGCCAUAUGUAAAUUAUAUGUUUCUCAUGAAAGGUUGUCUUGAAAGUAUUGAAUGAGCCAUUAUUUUUUCUAUUCUUCAACAUUUAUUUCUUAUUCUUCAUUUUUAAUGUGAUUUAUACACUGAAGAUGAAUGUUCCUUGUCUCUUUGUUUGUACAAUCAUGGUAAUGAUGCUAUAGAGAGACACUUGGACUGAAAUCCCUCCUCUUUAAUUUUCUUUAAUUUAGAUGUAGUUUUUUUCAUUGCAGGGCUCACAUAUUACAGGCUUCCAUAGCUGAUGGUGUUUUGUUAGAUGAUAUUGGCCCCGAGAAAAAUAUUGAGUUGCUACAAAAUGCUAUUACUUCUACUACUCUUUUAGGAAGCAUAAUCAUGUUCAUCCCUUUAUCAAUGUACCAAUUAAUUAUGGCAGCAAAUCUAUAAAUAUGAAGAUGAAUAAUUUUUGUGCACAGUUUAUAAUUGUGUAAUUUGAAGGACUUUGCAAUACUUAAAGAGACUAAUAUUUAUACAAUUACUUUGUUAUCUUAAAAUUUAUAAUACUUAGGAACUAUUCAUAUAA